CCCCGAUGAGGAAUCCCCCACGUGUCUGACCACCCCCCCGGCAGCAGAGCCUGAGCUCAGGCAGAACCCACUGGUGCCGGCGGGUGGAAAGGAGGACACUGCGUUCAGCAGAACGGUCUGAGGGGG
rnacentral:snoRNA from 7 species